rnacentral:rRNA from 1 species
AAGCUCGUAGUUGAAUUCGGGGUUAGUAGGUUGGUCAUGCCUCUGGUAUGUACUGGUCUCACUGAUUCCUCCUUCCUUAUGAACCGUAAUGCCAUUAAUUUGGUGUUGCGGGGAAUUUGGACNGUUACUUUGAAAAAAUUGAGUGUUUAAAGCAAGCUAACGCUUGAAUACAUUAGCAUGGAAUAAUGAAAUAGGACGUUCGAUCUUAUUUUGUUGGUUUCUAGGAUUGACGUAAUGAUUAAUAGGGAUAGUUGGG